CCUACGGGAUGCACCAGUGGGGAAUAUUGCACAAUGGGCGCAAGCCUGAUGCAGCCAUGCCGCGUGUAUGAAGAAGGCCUUCGGGUUGUAAAGUACUUUCAGCGGGGAGGAAGGCGAUAAGGUUAAUAACCUUGUCGAUUGACGUUACCCGCAGAAGAAGCACCGGCUAACUCCGUGCCAGCAGCCGCGGUAAUACGGAGGGUGCAAGCGUUAAUCGGAAUUACUGGGCGUAAAGCGCACGCAGGCGGUCUGUCAAGUCGGAUGUGAAAUCCCCGGGCUCAACCUGGGAACUGCAUUCGAAACUGGCAGGCUAGAGUCUUGUAGAGGGGGGUAGAAUUCCAGGUGUAGCGGUGAAAUGCGUAGAGAUCUGGAGGAAUACCGGUGGCGAAGGCGGCCCCCUGGACAAAGACUGACGCUCAGGUGCGAAAGCGUGGGGAGCAAACAGGAUUAGAUACCCGUGUAGUC
rnacentral:rRNA from 1 species